ACGAACGCUGGCGGCGUGCUUAACACAUGCAAGUCGAACGCUGAAGCUUGGUGCUUGCACUGGGUGGAUGAGUGGCGAACGGGUGAGUAAUACGUGAGUAACCUGCCCUUGACUCCGGGAUAAGCCUGGGAAACUGGGUCUAAUACUGGAUACGACAUGUCACCGCAUGGUGGUGUGUGGAAAGGGUUUUACUGGUUUUGGAUGGGCUCACGGCCUAUCAGCUUGUUGGUGGGGUAAUGGCUCACCAAGGCGACGACGGGUAGCCGGCCUGAGAGGGUGACCGGCCACACUGGGACUGAGACACGGCCCAGACUCCUACGGGAGGCAGCAGUGGGGAAUAUUGCACAAUGGGCGGAAGCCUGAUGCAGCGACGCCGCGUGAGGGAUGACGGCCUUCGGGUUGUAAACCUCUUUCAGCACGGAAGAAGCGAAAGUGACGGUACGUGCAGAAGAAGCGCCGGCUAACUACGUG
rnacentral:rRNA from 1 species